UACAGAGGGUGCGAGCGUUAAUCGGAAUUACUGGGCGUAAAGCGCACGUAGGUGGCGACGUAAGUCGGGUGUGAAAGCCCCGGGCUCAACCUGGGAAUUGCAUUCGAGACUGCAUUGCUGGAGUACGGAAGAGGAGGGCGGAAUUCCCAGUGUAGCGGUGAAAUGCGUAGAUAUCGGGAGGAACAUCAGUGGCGAAGGCGGCCCUCUGGUCCAGUACUGACACUCAAGUGCGAAAGCGUGGGGAGCAAACAGG
rnacentral:rRNA from 1 species